AGGAAUGAGCUGCUGACAGAAUAAAGUGAACCCUCUGGAGAGCUGGGAGCUGUUGUUUCUGAAAGCAUCUUCAAGUAACAAGCAUCCUUUACCUUCAUCUGAGGUUUCUGACUUAUAACUGAACUCAUGAGGCAACAUACCUCUAGAGAGCGGCCCAGACCUUUAUAUAUCUUUCUGUAUGUGGCCCUCGGGGAAAAGAGUUUGGACCCCCCUGUUCUAGACCAAUGACUGGUUACUUCCUGUCAUGCAGCUGAGAGCUGUGGCAGGCAGUCGUAGUGUUUGCAGAGAAGAUCUGAUGGGAUGUAAAGCAUGAGAUCAGGACUCUGAAGCUGACUCAAAGAACUAACACUUAUUUUAAACUGGAUCUAAAGCUGUUGGAUUGUGUUCAUCUCUACAGGAUCGGAGGAUGGGGUGAUAAGCCGAUCAGAGCCACGAUCCAGAAGACCUGUGACAGGAAGUGAAGACACACAGAAAGUUUAUUCAUCACGGGGCGAGUUUGAGACGUCCAGAGGAGCGUGGAGGCAUUUUGGAAAAUACAGAAGAAGACUGCAGCUGAUGAGAGACUUCCUGUUAGCUCUCCUCAAUAUGAAAUGAACAAAAACAAUCCAUUGUACUUAAAGCUUUUCUUAAAGAUGUGUUGCACAUACACCUACUGCUACCUACCACCACCUCCCACCCAUCCCGGCACCAAAGAAGAGACCCCAUCGACCCUGACUCAAUGGAAAAGUACUGGAGCCCCAAAAUGUGUUCAGGCCAUACCAUAGGAGAAUAUGUCUGGAUGUCCAGUCCUGCACACCAGAGGUCAUGACCUUUCCCUACAGGGUAUAAAGGAGGUGUCUUUGGGUUUUCUUUGUGUUCCUAUGUGCAGCAUAAAAGCACUGGCUGAGAGGGAGAACGCUCCAGAGCGGGGUCUCUCCUUGGUAGGUUCUCUCAACUUGGUAAGAUCUCUCAGAUUGAUUUGGUGAAUUGUUGAAUGAAAGUUUGAAUGUGUUAGAUACCACUGACCAUUUAUGAGGAGAUUCCUCUGGAUUCUGUCGGGUUAGACUUUUAAUGUUUCAACUGAAGAGGGCAGUUGAAGUUAGAAUUUAGUGUAAGAAAUGUAAAACUGAAUUGAGCUUUUGUAUUAGAAAAGUACCACAGCAUGAUAUGUUUUGUAUGAUUGUCAUAUUGUAACGAGAGAAGGUAAAAACCUGUUUAAGUGUGGACCAUUUUCUUCAAAUAAAAUCAUCCCACCUUUUUGGAUUGGGAGAACUUAAAAUAAA